rnacentral:rRNA from 1 species
GAUGAACGCUUGCGGCAGGCUUAAUACAUGCAAGUCGGACGGUAACAGGGUCUUCGGACUGCUGACGAGUGGCGGAUGGGUGAGUAACGCGUAUGCAACCUUCCUCACACCGAGAAAAAGUCGACUGAAAAGUUGAAUAAAGUCUCGUGGUGUGCAUUUCUCGCAUGAGAGAUGUAUGAUAGAAGCAAUUUGGUGUGAGAUGGGCAUGCGUAUCAUUAGCUAGUUGGUAAGGUAACGGCUUACCAAGGCGACGAUGAUUAGGGGGCCUGAGAGGGUGGUCCCCCACACUGGGACUGAGACACGGCCCAGACUCCUACGGGAGGCAGCAGUAGGGAAUAUUGGUCAAUGGGCGGAAGCCUGAACCAGCCAUGCCGCGUGAUGGAUGACGGCCUUAGGGUUGUAAACAUCUUUUCUGCUAGAGGAAUAGAGUUCACGCGUGGACAGACGACUGUAUAGCAGGAAUAAGGAUCGGCUAACUCCGUGCCAGCAGCCGCGGUAAUACGGAGGAUUCGAGCGUUAUCCGGAUUUACUGGGUUUAAAGGGUGCGCAGGCGGGCUCUUAAGUCAGCGGUGAAAUGUCUGGGCUUACCCUAGGAAUUGCCGUUGAUACUGGGAGUCUUGGAUAAGCAUAAGGACGGCGGAAUGCGUAGUGUAGCGGUGAAAUGCUUAGAUAUUACGUAGAAGACCAAUUGCGAAGGCAGCUGUCUGGGUCUUUAUCGACGCUCAAGCACGAAAGCGUGGGGAGCAAACAGG